UGGGGAAUCUUCCGCAAUGGACGCAAGUCUGACGGAGCAACGCCGCGUGUACGACGAAGGCCUUCGGGUUGUAAAGUACUGUCUUAAGGGACGAAGUGUAGUGGUGUGAAUAAUGCCAUUACGUGACGGUACCUUAUGAGGAAGCCCCGGCUAACUACGUGCCAGCAGCCGCGGUAAUACGUAGGGGGCAAGCGUUGUCCGGAAUCAUUGGGCGUAAAGGGCGCGUAGGCGGAUAUUUAAGUCUGAUGUGAAAACCUAGGGCUCAACCUUGGGAGUGCAUCGGAAACUGGAUAUCUUGAGGACAGGAGAGGAAAGUGGAAUUCCACGUGUAGCGGUGAAAUGCGUAGAUAUGUGGAGGAACACCAGUGGCGAAGGCGACUUUCUGGACUGUAACUGACGCUGAGGCGCGAAAGCGUGGGGAGCAAACA
rnacentral:rRNA from 1 species